ACCAGCACUUUAUAAAAUGACCUGGUGUUUUCCAAAAAAUAAAAAAUAAUAAGGAUCAGGUGAGCUCCAAUUUACUCAUGGAAAAUAAGUAUGCAUGCUACCUAAGAAAAGCUGAUAUUAGGCUAAAUCUCUUUUUCUAGUUUGCAUUGGGAUAAAUCAAGAGCAACAGCAGACAUACAAACCAGGGCUGAUUCUUGUAUAGCUUAAAUCAGUGGCAGCUUUGCUUUUGACUUCAGUGAGUUUUGGAUUGAUCCCAUAAUUAUUAUCAUUAGUGAGGAAUUUGAUCUUUUCUCUUUUUCUUUUUUUUUUUCCCCAGACCACAAAUGAUUCCACACAUGGGAUAUUCAGUUUUUAGCAGCUGUCAUUAUUUAGAGGUUUAACAAGCACUCUUACAGAAAGAACUAUAAAAGGGAAGUUGUAUAAAUAGACUAAAAUUAAUAGAGGAACCAAAUAGAGUUAGUUCCUGCUUCACUAGCCUCUACAGCUCUUUUAAUUUUUGUAUUUUUAAAGUGUAUUUAACUGCAGUUCCAUUUACAAGAAAUGUCGGUAGCAUUUUUGCAAUGGUAGUUGUAAAAGCCAAAGUUUUUCCAUCGCUUGACAGACUCACUUCUGAAUGUAACCAGUGUUUGGUAGAAAUUUAAAAAGUGGAGCAAUUUAAGCAUUUGCGCUUAACUUGCCAAAUGGGGACGAUACUAAAUUAUUACAGAAUUAUAGGUUACUGGUGAAGGGAAUGCACACUUUGUAGGAAAAAGAAAUGGAGGUUUUAAAUGGUGCAUGAAUGGGCUCUAAUUUGUGUAUAGCUGUAGUGUGAGAUGAGGCCAGGCUUAAAUCAUAAACUUGUAACAGGGCUUAGCCAAGCUCUUUGGCUUUGUUUGUGGAGCCGAAUUGCCAGUUUUCCAGACAGACUACCAAAAACUUAAGAGAGAACUUGCAUAAACUUAUCCUUAAGGUUACUAUGACCUGAAGGAAGAAUGCAAGAGUAAACUCAAAGAGUUGUUCCUGUCUUUGGCCAUUCACCCAUCUGCAGGGAACUGUGGCUAAGCCAGUCUCAAGAGGUGUCAUUCCUGAGUUUUCUCACUUAGAUUUGGAAAUUACAAUCCAGAGGAAUAUAAUAGGCACACUGGGUCCCUCCUAGAUUCAUCAUACCUCAGCCAUGCUGUUCCAGCGAGUGGCUGGUAACUGAGGCUUCAGAGUAAGAAGUAAAAUGCUUAAGCAGAAAAGGAUAAGAAAUAAGAGAAACACAGAGUGGUCCUUCCUCUGUUCAAUCCUCCCAGCUGGCAAUUUGUGGUUUAAGAAGUUCCUGAGCCAGGGUUUAUCUCAUGGUCAGUAGCUACUACUAAGUCCAUCCUCCAUAAAUGUCUAGCCCCUUUAUGAGGCUGUUUAUAUUUCUGGCCUCCAUUUUUGGCAAGGGAUUCUAUAUUGUAGCUAUGCAUUGUGUGAAAUGACAUUUGCUUCUGUAUGUUUUAAACCUGCUUCCUCAUAAUUUCACCGAGUGCCCUUUAGGUCUUUUCUGGGAAAGAAUGAGAAAUCCUUUUCCGUUCAUCCAGCUCAUAUGGUUUAUGAUUGUACAGAUCUCCCUCAUGUUUUCCCCUUCAGUCAUUCUUUCCCAGAUUCAAGAUCUUAAGCUAGGCAGCCUUUCUCCCUUCACAACCCUGUUUCAUGCCUUUGAUCACCGUUGUCAUCUUUUUCUGUGCCUUCUCUAGCUCUGUUGUGCAUUUUUUGAGACGGAGGAGAAGUGGACUUGCACGCAAUAUAAAUGUUGGUGAGCUCUAAGCUGUUUUUUCCAGGAGGUUCUCCACCACCACACUAAAAUCUUCUCCCAGAUUGGUAGAAGGCCCAGGUACAGGAAUCAUGUUAUCACACAAGACUCCAAUGAACCACUAUAUGGAAAAAGU